UACGUAGGGGGCAAGCGUUGUCCGGAUUAUUGGGCGUAAAGAGCGUGUAGGCGGCCAUACAGGUCAGCUGUGAAAACUCGAGGCUCAACCUCGAGACGUCGGUUGAAACCGUAUGGCUAGAGUCCGGAAGAGGAGAGUGGAAUUCCCGGUGUAGCGGUGAAAUGCGCAGAUAUCGGGAAGAACACCCGUGGCGAAGGCGGCUCUCUGGGACGGUACUGACGCUGAGA
rnacentral:rRNA from 1 species